UGUACACUCUGUCAAACUUCACUUGGAAACACACAGGAGUUGUUCGAGACGUUUGGAGCGGUUGUUUUUCUCUCCUCCAUGUCAUCUCCGGGUCUCCAAAGAUGCAGCGCUCACAGAAAAGAAGAAGACAACAAAGCAGUUCGCCGUCUUCACAACUCAGAGACAAAGUGUAGCAGGCGCUACGAACCGGAGCAAGGACUAACCUCGCCUCAUAACGAGGCUGUGACCUAUAUUUGCUCAGAGCUGUCUGCAGGUCCAGAUACAUGACGCUGAUAAUUAACCAUUGUGUCUGCCUGUAAGACAUAUUACGAGACAGCAGCAGGAG